AUCUCCAUUACCAACAUGAACUGCAUUUGCUGCACCAUACAGUUUUGACCCCAGGAGGUAUCAAAUAUAGAAAAAAAAUACUUAGACCAAGAUGAGGUUUUAACCUGACAGAGCUAGGUAGUAUUGAUAUAACCAAAACUGCAUCUAACAUGAAAACCAUCAGUCUGUCUUCCUCCCCACACCUCAAGUGUCCACUGUAUUGGCUCGUCGUCAGAGUUAGGUCACCCUGUAAAUAAACAGACACAAUUUGUGAUAUUAAAACAAUGAUCUAAAACAUUUAACCACA